rnacentral:rRNA from 1 species
AGAGUUUGAUCCUGGCUCAGGACGAACGCUGGCGGCGUGCCUAAUACAUGCAAGUAGAACGCUGAAGAGAGGAGCUUGCUCUUCUUGGAUGAGUUGCGAACGGGUGAGUAACGCGUAGGUAACCUGCCUUGUAGCGGGGGAUAACUAUUGGAAACGAUAGCUAAUACCGCAUAACAAUGGAUGACACAUGUCAUUUAUUUGAAAGGGGCAAUUGCUCCACUACAAGAUGGACCUGCGUUGUAUUAGCUAGUAGGUGAGGUAACGGCUCACCUAGGCGACGAUACAUAGCCGACCUGAGAGGGUGAUCGGCCACACUGGGACUGAGACACGGCCCAGACUCCUACGGGAGGCAGCAGUAGGGAAUCUUCGGCAAUGGGGGCAACCCUGACCGAGCAACGCCGCGUGAGUGAAGAAGGUUUUCGGAUCGUAAAGCUCUGUUGUAAGUCAAGAACGAGUGUGAGAGUGGAAAGUUCACACUGUGACGGUAGCUUACCAGAAAGGGACGGCUAACUACGUGCCAGCAGCCGCGGUAAUACGUAGGUCCCGAGCGUUGUCCGGAUUUAUUGGGCGUAAAGCGAGCGCAGGCGGUUUGAUAAGUCUGAAGUUAAAGGCUGUGGCUCAACCAUAGUUCGCUUUGGAAACUGUCAAACUUGAGUGCAGAAGGGGAGAGUGGAAUUCCAUGUGUAGCGGUGAAAUGCGUAGAUAUAUGGAGGAACACCGGUGGCGAAAGCGGCUCUCUGGUCUGUAACUGACGCUGAGGCUCGAAAGCGUGGGGAGCGAACAGGAUUAGAUACCCUGGUAGUCCACGCCGUAAACGAUGAGUGCUAGGUGUUGGAUCCUUUCCGGGAUUCAGUGCCGCAGCUAACGCAUUAAGCACUCCGCCUGGGGAGUACGACCGCAAGGUUGAAACUCAAAGGAAUUGACGGGGGCCCGCACAAGCGGUGGAGCAUGUGGUUUAAUUCGAAGCAACGCGAAGAACCUUACCAGGUCUUGACAUCCCGAUGCUAUUUCUAGAGAUAGAAAGUUACUUCGGUACAUCGGUGACAGGUGGUGCAUGGUUGUCGUCAGCUCGUGUCGUGAGAUGUUGGGUUAAGUCCCGCAACGAGCGCAACCCCUAUUGUUAGUUGCCAUCAUUCAGUUGGGCACUCUAGCGAGACUGCCGGUAAUAAACCGGAGGAAGGUGGGGAUGACGUCAAAUCAUCAUGCCCCUUAUGACCUGGGCUACACACGUGCUACAAUGGUUGGUACAACGAGUUGCGAGUCGGUGACGGCAAGCUAAUCUCUUAAAGCCAAUCUCAGUUCGGAUUGUAGGCUGCAACUCGCCUACAU